UACGGAGGAUCCGAGCGUUAUCCGGAUUUAUUGGGUUUAAAGGGUGCGCAGGCGGGAGAUUAAGUCGGCGGUGAAAUUUUGCAGCUCAACUGUAAAAGUGCCUUCGAAACUGGUUUCCUUGAGUGUAGAUUAAGUAGGCGGAAUUUGUGGUGUAGCGGUGAAAUGCAUAGAUAUCACGAGGAACUCCGAUUGCGCAGGCAGCUUACUAAACUACUACUGACGCUCAGGCACGAAGGCGUGGGGAUCAAACAGGAUUAGAUACUCCUGUA
rnacentral:rRNA from 1 species